GUGAGAAGCCAUGGCAGGUGAUGUUAAGAUUCUGCUCUGUGUAUUUACAGGGCCACGGCAGCAGUGGAGAAACCAUAACCCAAGGAAAUAAUGAGGAGAUGGAAAAUUUACCAACCAGGACAAAAAGAGAAGUAGGAAGGCAACUCAGCAAGGUACAAAGUCUCGCCUCCAAACCUGGCUGCUCAGCAGAGGGGUACAGGAGCACAAAGGCUCCAGGAGACUGUAUGCAUCCCUGCCCAUGAAGGCAGGCAGGUAGCCAUAACUGUAGGAAGAAACCGUGGUUCUCAUGAGGAAUGUGCCCUGAAAGUGAUUUUUCUUGCAUAACAAGCCAGGUUUAAAGAAUACAGGCACCACAUUCUUCAUCUUCUAGGAUAUGUGUUCACAUCUGCUAAGGAGUAAACUACUCUGGGGAGGUGGGGUGUCACUGACAAGUCCAAGCGACACAUAGCUCCAGAUGGUCACAAAAGACAGUUAUUGGAGUGGACUGGUCACCAAUCUGCUAAAUGUAAUCACUGGCUGUGGAGGCAGUGGGUCAGUGGCUUCCAUUUCUGUGACAGGAGCCUGGAACAACUGUGUCCUAAGUGGCUUCAUCCAGCAGUUGAGAGAAACAGAUGCAGAGACCCCACAACCAAACAUCAGGAGAGCUGGGGAGUCCUGUGGAUGAGUUGGAAAUAGAACUGAACAAGCCAAUGGGGUCAAGAACACCACAAGAAGAUAUACAGAGUAAACUAACCUGGGUUCAUAGGGGCCCACAGAGAUUUAAGCAUCAACCAAAGAGUAUGCAAGGGUUGGACCUACGUCCCCACACAUUUGUAGCAGAAGUGCUGCUUGGUCUUCAUGUGGAUUCCCUAACAACUGGAGCAUGGGCUGUCUCUGACUCUGUUGCCUGCCAUUUGAUCUGCUUCUCCUAGUUAGACUACCUCAUUGGGCCUCAGUGGGAGAGGAUGCACUUGGUUUCUGCUGUGACUUGAUGUCCCAGAGCAAAGUGGUACCCAACCGGGGGGCUGUCUCUCUCUCUCUCUCUCUCUCUCUCUCUCUCUCUCUCUCUCUCUCUCUCUCAGAAGGGAAAGGGUGGUGGGGGGAGUGAUGGGGCUGUGGUCUGGAUAUAAAAUGAAAAAAUUCAUCCCUCUCAUACACUCACU
ensembl:lncRNA